rnacentral:lncRNA from 1 species
GGAGGGACCUUAAAGCCAGUCUCUGAUGUUAACACAAUUUCCAACUCAAGCACAUAAGCCAGAUGAAAGACCCACAAAGUGAGGACUACCUCACGUUCUGACUCAAAAGAGGCGACACCCCAAAUCACUCACAAGAAAUGGCCUUGAUGCAAAUCGCAAGAGGACCUUUUUAUUCCAGGCAUCACUGAAAUUCUCGGGAGUUCCUAUAGCCAACAGUGCUUCCUACAGCUGAACUUCAGGAGACUGAGGACCCUGCCAUACCCUGCCAGCUGACGCCAAGCUGUGUUCCUACCAUGGAGGGCCUGGAGACACACUGAGAGGGUGACAAUUGAUCACCAAGCUAUGCUCAUGAUAGCCAACAAGGUUACCAAGGAAAAUCUACAACAGCCUGUCUGAAAAAAAAAAUAAGUAUAAAGAAAUCAAAUGCAGAAAGUAUUCUCCACCACUUAUAAAAAGCAACUUCCUAACAUCCUAAGAUAACUUAAUAAAAUCCCAG